CCUCCCCGCCCCCCGCCGUGCAGCCGCGGGGGCAGCCGUCCUCUGUGCGUUACAGAUGGGGAAACUGAGGCACGGGACCGUGGCUCGCACCAGGUCCCGCUGCGAGAGGGCAGGCAGGAGCAGGGGGCCGUGCCGGGCCGGGCCUUCUGCCCCGGAGCUAUCGCGCGUGCCCUGCCUGCGCGGGGGAGGGUGCCGGGCAGCCCUGCCUGUACCUGGGCGGGCGGGCAGGAGCCGGGCGCCGCCGGGCCCCGUACGCAGGCUUCGCCCCGGGCUGGGAGCGCUGAGCUGCCGCCGGGCUCUGCGGGAGCCCCGGCUCGUCCCUUCCGCACACGUCAGCCGCCGCCGGCCGCGCCGGGCUCCGUUCUCCGCCGGCAGAGACGAGCGAGCGGCGGCCGCAGCAUCGCCCCAGCCCGGCGGCAGCGUGCCAUGGCCGGCGGGGCGGCCGCAGCCACCCGGCGAACACGGCACCCCCCUUAGCGAACUCUCCUGGUCCUCCUCGCUGGCCGUGGUGGCUGUUUCCUUCUCGGGGCUCUUCACCUUCAUCUUCCUCAUGUUGGCCUGCCUGUGCUGCAAGAAGGGGGACAUCGGCUUCAAGUUGUCUCUGCUCGGUGUGUGCCCCCCCGUGCGCCCCCCGGCCCAGGAGUUUGAGAACACCGAGGGGGACGACUACGUGACGGAGCUCUCGGCCCAGGGCUCGCCCGCCCCCCAGCAUGGCCCCGAGGUCUACGUCCUGCCCCUCACCAAGGUCUCCCUGCCCAUGGCCAAGCAGCCAGGGCGCUCAGUGCAGCUCCUCAAGUCGGCAGACCUGGGGCGGCAGAGCCUGCUCUACCUGAAGGAGAUCGGGCACGGCUGGUUCGGCAAGGUGUUCCUGGGGGAGGUGAACUCGGGCAUCAGCAGCACCCAGGUGGUGGUGAAGGAACUGAAGGCAAGCGCCAGCGUGCAGGACCAGAUGCAGUUCCUGGAGGAAGCGCAGCCCUACAGGGCCCUCCAGCACACCAACCUGCUGCAGUGCCUGGCCCAGUGCGCCGAGGUCACCCCAUACCUGCUGGUGAUGGAGUUCUGCCCACUGGGUGACCUGAAGGGGUACCUGCGGAGCUGCCGGGGGGCCGAGGCCAUGACCCUGGACCCACUGACCCUGCAGAGGAUGGCGUGCGAGGUGGCCUGCGGCGUCCUGCACCUGCACAGGAACAACUACAUCCACAGCGACCUGGCCCUGCGGAACUGCCUGCUCACCGCUGACCUGACCGUCAAGAUUGGAGACUACGGGCUCUCGCACUGCAAGUACAAAGACGACUACUUUGUGACGGCCGACCAGCUGUGGGUGCCGCUGCGCUGGAUCGCGCCCGAGCUCAUCGACGAAGUGCACGGCAACCUGCUCGUCGUAGACCAGACCAAGUCCAGCAACGUCUGGUCGCUGGGUGUCACCAUCUGGGAGCUGUUUGAGCUGGGCAGCCAGCCCUACGACCACUACUCCGACCGGCAAGUGCUCGCCUACGCCAUCAAGGAGCAGCAGCUCAAGCUGCCCAAGCCCCAGCUGAAGCUGUCGCUCUCGGAACGCUGGUACGAGGUGAUGCAGUUCUGCUGGCUGCAGCCGGAGCAGCGCCCGACGGCGGAGGAGGUGCACCUCCUGCUCUCCUACCUCUGCGCCAAAGGGGCGACGGAGGCGGAGGAGGAGUUCGAGAAGCGCUGGAACUCCAUGAAACCCAACGGCAGCGCCAGCGCCAGCCACCACGGCGCCGAGCUCUCCUCCUUCCCGCUGCUGGAGCAGUUCUCGGCCGACGGCUUCCCCUCGGACGGGGAUGACAUCCUCACCGUCAUGGAGACCAGCCACGGCCUCAAUUUCGAGUACAAGUGGGAGCACACCAAGACCGAGCACUUCCAGGCGCCCCUGGGGUCCCUGAGCCCCAGCAGUGCCGCCCGCUACCACGACCUCUACUACCCGGCCACGACCACGGGGCGCCUGAGCCUGGGGGUCUCGCCCUCCUGCUACGAGUGCAAGCCACCGGGCUGCCCCGGCCUGCCGGCGCCCGGCGUGGUGCCCAUCCUGGGUGCCCACAGCCCCUCGCUCGGCAGCGAGUACUACAUCCGCAUCGAGGGGCCCGGGGAGGGCAGCGCCGAGCUGGACUACGCCAUGUGCGCCUACAGCCCCGCGGGUGAGCGGGGGUCCCCGCGCCCCCCGUCCUGCUGGAGAGCCCAGGGUGCCCGGAGCGACGGCGCCUAUGACUCCGACAGCAGCCCCACCGUCUCCCUCAGCAUGGAGCCGCUGCUGGGCCACGCGCCAGCGGGCGAGGGCUCCUGGGAGUGUGCUGAGUAUUACCCGUACCCCUGCCCGGGGCAGGAGCCGCGGGGCUACGAGCCGUCCCCCAGCCGCGGGGCCGAGGGCUACCUGCUGGAGGAGGAGCCCGCCCAGCCGGGCAGCCAGGACUGGCCCGUCCCCGGCUUCCAGCCCAGCAUCUUCACCGACCCGCUGGGCGUCUCCCCGUCGGUGAACUGUGCCUACAGCCCCCGGGGGUACGGGGAGCCGCGGGCAGCCCCGCCGGGCGGGCGGCUGCCAGGGCAGAGCGGGGCCCGUCCGGACUGCGUGAUGCUGGAGCUAGGCAAGGACAGCCCCCCCGGAGCCCCCCACCCACAAGGUGCGAGCCCCCCGGCUCAGCGGCAUCCCUGGGCCUCCAACAGCUCCUCCAACAACAACAUCGGCAGCGGCAGCCCGGUGGCCCGCGAACCCCUGGCUGGCGACAGCUGGUGCUACCGUCGCAUGAUCACCUUCCGGGGGCUGAUGGCCAAGCCGCUGGGCACCGUGCCACGCGGCCAGCCCCAGCUCGGGGGGUCCCCGCUGGGUCACGACUUCCGCCGCCCGCGGCAGGAUCAGCCCCCCGGCACGGCCGGCAGCUCCUCCUCCCCGUGCCACUCGCCCUCCCUGCGGCGCCAGGCCUGGCACAGCCGUGACUCAUCAACCUCCGGCCGCUCGCAGGCAGCAGCGCUGGCUGGCAGCCCCGGCACGCCGUGGGGCCCCGGCACAGCCCUGCCAGCCGGAGCGGGGGCCCAGCACAAUGCCUGCCCGGAUGAGAGCGGGGAGAGGAGCAGCCCUGCCCGCAGCCCGCUGCCCCAUGCCAUGGCUGCGCCGGGGCCAGGGGAGGCCACCCCCGUAGUUGGCACUGCUGCCCCGAACCCUGACCCCCCCACGGAACCCGCCGUAGAUGGUGCCCAGCCCGUGCCAGAGGCCUCCGAGGCGCCCACGCCGGUGCCCAGGGAGGCUGCCACCGAGAACGGGGUGUGUGCCGCUGGUGAUGCGGACCGGACGCCGGACAAGACCUUCUCCAGCGCCAGCUUCCCCAGCGUGGAUGAGGUGAGCGACGAGGACACGGCAGAGCUGACCUCCGGCAUCUUCACCGACUUCUCCGGGGACUACAUGGAGCGGGUGGAGGCGGCCCCGGCGUUCAAGUCCCUGCAGAAGCAGCUGGGGACGCCGGACUCCCUGGAGUCGCUGGACAUCCCCUCCACGGCCAGCUCAUGUGAGGUCUUCAGCCCCACCACCUUCGCCCCCGCCGGCCAGCCCAAGGCCCUCGACAGCGGCUACGACACCGAGAACAACGAGUCCCCCGAGUUUGUCCUCAAAGAGCCCCACGAGCCCCGAGAGCCGGAGGCCUUUGGCCAGCUGGGGAAGCCUCCCCCGGGGCUGCCGGGGGAUGAGGGCGAGGGGGUGGCCCCCGAAACGCGGCUCUCCACCUCCCUCGGGGCUGAGCUGCACAGCCUCGCUGAGAAGAACCCCUACCGCGACUCUGCCUAUUUCUCCGACUACGACGCCGAGGCUGAGCGCGGCCCCAAGGACGAGGAGGACAGCGAUGGGUCCCGGACCCCAGAGGCUGAGGAGGGUCCCCAGCCCCCCAUGCAGGACCUGGGGCGAUCCCCUGUGCCGGGAGAGGACCCGCUGCACCCCCCGGGGGCACCUGGCAGCCCCCCGGCAGUGCCCGGCGUGGCGGUGGCAGUGGACGUUCAGGCAACGGGGGGUUCGGCAGGGGACUGGAGGGGAGCAGAGGCCGGGAUUGCCCCGGCCAGCCCCACGGGGCAGGGCACUGGCACCGAUCGGCGAUCCAUCGGCACAGUGCCGGUGCCGGGCAGCUCGUUGUGCCCUGAUGGAGACGCCUGUCCCCCGGGCUCUGCGCCGCCCAAGACUUUCUUCUUGACUCCGGUGCUGGCAAGCCCUGGGGAGCCAGCGUCCAUCGGAGGGAUUGGCGUGCCCGAGGGCAUCCCCGGACUUGGGGGAGCCGCAGCCAGGGGCGAACAGACUGUGCCCCCUACGCCAGGACUUGGGGAACUGGGGCUGCCCCUGGAGGGGACUGCGGUGGGCGAUGCACCGGGGGGUCCCAGCACGCUGCUACCGGGGGACGAGUCUCCCCCGGGCCUCUCCCCCCUCCCAUCCGCCCGGGAGCCGCGGCUGGCCGCCCCCGAGCGCCGCGAGGAGCCGGAGGAGGAGGAGGAGGAUACAGAGGACAGUGACGAGUCGGAUGAAGAACUGCGCUGCUACAACAUCCAGGAGCAGAGCGAGGAGAGCGAGGAGGAGCCACCGGCCGUGCCCAUCGUGGUGGCCGAGAGCCAGAGCAGCAGGAACCUGCGCAGCCUCCUCAAGAUGCCCAGCCUGCUCUCCGAGGCCUUCUGCGAGGACCUGGAGCGCAAGAAGAAGGCCGUCUCCUUCUAUGACGACGUUACCAUCUACCUCUUCGACCAGGAAAGCCCCACGCGGGAACUGGCUGAGCAGAGCUUCCCAGAGCCCCCCCAGCCUUCGGGGCAGCCCCCCGCCGGCGGCAGCCCCCCCAGCCCGGCAGACAGGCUCAGCGCCUCGGACGACUCCUCGGAUGGCAACGCCUCGGAAGAGAGCGGUGGCUUCGAGUGGGAUGACGACUUUCCGCUCAUGCCGGUAAAACCAUCCCUGAUGUCCUCGCUGACGGGGACGCCAGUGGAGCCCGACCCGGCUGUGCCCGCGCUGCCUGCACUGGUGCCGGCGCAGAAGCAGGUGCUGCCCAUCCAGUUCUCCCGGUUCACGGUCUCACCGGCUCCGGUGUCCCGGUUCUCCAUCACCCACGUCUCCGACUCGGACAUGGACUCCAUAGGAGGCAGCAGCGAAGAUGGUGACCGGGAGUGAGCCAGCCGGGACGUCGGCCAGGCAUCGCCCCGGCACCACCACCGGUGUGGGGCAGCGGAGGACGGCGGGGCCGGGAGCGGGGUCCGGCCAUGGGCUCCCAGGCUGUGCUCUGGAUUUUUUAGGCAGAUUUUUAUCGGAAGGAGCUCAUUUGCUGCUGCGAGUGGGAGCGGGGCCGGCACGGCCCAGGGCCAGGCGCUUCCAGAAGGAAAUGGAAGUAAGCGGAGCUGAGCGAAACCUUGAAAUCAGGGCUGGUUCCUUUGGGGUCCAUAGACCAAACCCUGAGGUGAGAAAUGCCCUCCCCGCCCCCGCCUCCCCCCUUGCCCCCAGCCCCUUGUCCUGCAGCCCUGGCUGGCUCCUGCCGCCCCGCGCACGUGGGGCGAGGGCACACACGCCCGUGCGAGAGCACACACGCUCGUGCAGGGACACGUGCACAGACACACACAUGCACCCAUGUGGGACGGGGCUGCUGCCUGGGGGGUUCUGCUCCACGCCGGGGCACGGUGCCAUGGGACGAGCCCGUCCCCAGCUCGGCACAGCUCUGGCACCGCGGCGAUGCCGAGUCCAGCCUGGUGCCGGGCGCAGGUGUUGCCGUACUCGCCCGCCCUUCGCCCACCCUCACGCCCAGCCCGGAGCUGCAGCCCAGGACAGGCAGGGCCCCGGGGGGGGUCCCCAGCUUCAGCCCCAAAAUGCAGGGCGGCUGCGCCUGCCCCGUACCCCCCGCUGGUUGCCUCUCCCCAGCAGCCAGUUGGCCAGUCACCGGUGGCAAUUAUUAGUCCUUUAUUUCAGUGGUUUAUUUAAGCUCGGCCUGGCCUGUACCCCCCCCCCCCCAGCGCUGCCCUUGCAAGCUCUUUGCCGAAUGCUUUGCAGCUGGGGGGGGGGGGCAUCACCCCGUCCUGGCCGCUGUCACGGGGUGCAGCACCCAUCUGCGGUGGUGGGGUGCAGGAGCGGGGGGG